rnacentral:rRNA from 1 species
AUUGCCCUCAGUAACGGCGAGUGAAGCGGCAAGAGCUCAAAUUUGAAAGCUGCCCCCCUCGGGGUCCGCAUUGUAAUUUGCAGAGGAUGCUUCGGGAGUGGCCCCCAUCUAAGUGCUCUGGAACGGGCCGUCAUAGAGGGUGAGAAUCCCGUAUGGGAUGGGGUGUCCGCGACCAUGUGAAGCUCCUUCGACGAGUCGAGUUGUUUGGGAAUGCAGCUCUAAAUGGGUGGUAAAUUUCAUCUAAAGCUAAAUAUUGGCCGGAGACCGAUAGCGCACAAGUAGAGUGAUCGAAAGAUGAAAAGCACUUUGAAAAGAGAGUUAAAAAGCACGUGAAAUUGUUGAAAGGGAAGCGCUUGCGACCAGACUCGCCUACGGGGUUCAGCCGGUAUUCGUACCGGUGUACUUCCCCGUGGGCGGGCCAGCGUCGGUUUGGGCGGCCGGUCAAAGGCCCUCGGAAUGUAACGCCUCUCGGGGCGUCUUAUAGCCGAGGGUGCCAUGCGGCCAGCCCGGACCGAGGAACGCGCUUCGGCACGGACGCUGGCAUAAUGGUCGUAAGCGACCCGUCUUGAAACACGGACCAAGGAGUCUAACAUCUACGCGAGUGUUCGGGUGUCAAACCCGUGCGCGCAGUGAAAGCGAACGGAGGUGGGAACCCUCACGGGUGCACCAUCGACCGAUCCUGAUGUCUUCGGAUGGAUUUGAGUAAGAGCGUAGCUGUUGGGACCCGAAAGAUGGUGAACUAUGCCUGAAUAGGGCGAAGCCAGAGGAAACUCUGGUGGAGGCUCGCAGCGGUUCUGACGUGCAAAUCGAUCGUCAAAUUUGGGUAUAGGGGCGAAAGACUAAUCGAACCAUCUAGUAGCUGGUUCCUGCCGAAG